AAACCAACAGGGAUUGCCUUAGUAACGGCGAGUGAAGCGGCAAAAGCUCAAAUUUGAAAUCUGGUACCUUCGGUGCCCGAGUUGUAAUUUGAAGAUAGUUUUCUGGUGCUGGUCCUUGUCUAUGUUCCUUGGAACAGGACGUCACAGAGGGUGAGAAUCCCGUCUGGCGAGGUGUCCAGUGCUUUGUAGAUUUCUAUCGACGAGUCGAGUUGUUUGGGAAUGCAGCUCUAAGUGGGUGGUAAAUUCCAUCUAAAGCUAAAUAUUGGCGAGAGACCGAUAGCGAACAAGUACAGUGAUGGAAAGAUGAAAAGAACUUUGAAAAGAGAGUGAAAAAGUACGUGAAAUUGUUGAAAGGGAAGGGUAUUAGAUCAGACUUGGUGUUUUGUGAUUAUCUUCCCUUCUUGGGUUGUGCACUCGCAUUUCACUGGGCCAGCAUCGGUUUGGGUGGUAAGAUAAUGGCUUGGGAACGUGGCUCUGUCUUCGGGCAGUGUGUUUAUAGCCCUUGCUGAUGUUACCUGCCUAGACCGAGGACUGCGGCUUUUGCCUAGGAUGCUGGCGUAAUGAUCUAACACCGCCCGUCUU
rnacentral:rRNA from 1 species